CUAGCAAAGGCCCUACAAGGCCUGAGCUCGUGUCCUUGAUCGGUUCAACGGCUGAGAAGUAAAGAAAUCCUGUGGAGACAAGUAAAACAGCUACUCAAAGCAACAGCCAGGAAUGAGGAACUUGUCAGACUGGGUCUUCCAGCUCAGAGUGCGUCUCUGUCUGAGGAUGUGCUUGGUGGAAGGACAGUUGUUUCCACUGAAUCCUAUCAGAGAGCAUCGCAAAGCCUGCUCUGGACUGGGACCAGCCUCAUACUUGGGAAUAAAGAAGUAUCUCAGGAGUCAUGGAGUCUGCCCUAGCUAUGAGAAAGGCUUCCCACACAGCCAGGAUUUCCCAAGAACAGUAUCAUGAACGGAAGGAUAGUUCCUGUGGCCACGGGGUAGAAGCUGUUUUUCUUACAUGCAGACAGCCUGUGCUACAUACUCUGUGAUUGGGGGAUACAUAUGUGACUGUAAGCCCACAAAAGUUUUAAAUAAAUAUUUGCCCAUAGA